UAUAAAACCUCAUGUUCAACUAUUACCAAAAGCUGUGCAGUAUUUCCUCAGUGAUGGUUAAUGAACCCUGGCAAUCAGUGAGUGAUUUGCUGUUUGUGUCAGUUUGUGUUUUGCAGGGACUGUAAAGACGAGUAUCACGAGGGUCCCUGCAGACACACGACCAGCACAGCAUCAGGAGGAGCCCUGCAGGGUUAUGUUGUAGAUGAAGAAGCGGCUCUUCGUGCUCGAUGGGAACAGGCUUCACAGGAGACCAUCACCAAAACCACUCACCCCUGCCCCAAAUGCCAGGUUCCUGUGGAGAAAAAUGGUGGCUGUAUGCACAUGGUGUGUCCGCGUCCGCAGUGUAAGUUCGAGUGGUGCUGGCUGUGUCGCGUGGAGUGGAACAGGGACUGUAUGGGAAACCAUUGGUUUGAAUGAGACGGAUUUGCUCUGACAGAUGAAACUCAGGAAAUAAAGCCAACGGAAAGCUGGCAGAAGACUUUCAGAUCAUUAGCAUGUCAAGUCAUUAUCCAACCCAGGCUCAUUCUGAUUACGCGCCCCGAUAUACAUUUCUAGAGAGCGGCAAAAACAUCCCAGGAGCUACUUUUUUUAGCAGUUUUCGCGAAUCCAACAGAGGCUGCUGUGUAUGCUUUUUCAGAUCUCGGAUUUCUCUCGCGAGUGCCAUUUGCACCUGCUGUUCAUGUGUAAAUCCACCAGAGGCCGCUGUCCACUGACUGACUGACUGACCAACUGAUCCCGCUACCCACACCCUUCCCUAAACCAAAACGAUAGUGUUUUUAAAAUCAAUCCAGAAUAAGAAAAGCCUUCGUGGCAGCUUGUUUUUUUCCACAUUUUCAUUAUUUCCGUGUUUUUAUUUUAUUUUUUGCCUUUUGUUUUUGUUUUACCUGCUUUCUGGAACCAUUUUUCGGCAGACUCGAAUCCUGUCAUCACGAUCAACUCCGCUCUGCAACUCAAGUCCUCCAACGUACAUGGUGAGCCAAUAGACAAACUGGUAACGGCAGAAAAGCUGUCCAUAUGGAGGUAAGCGGUCAGCUGGUACACUCUCAUAAAUAAAUGUACAGGAGCUGUUUCUGGGGCAGUACCUUUUCAAAAGGUACCUAUUUGUACCCAAAAAGUUCACAGUGGUACCUCAAAGGUGCAUAUUAGUACCCGAAUGUACCUAAAAAGUACCUUUGAGGUACCAUUAUGGACCCUUCAGUCACAAAUAUGUACCUUUUGAAAAGGUACUGCCCCAGAAACAGCUCCUGUACCUUUAUUUCUGAGAGUGUAAAGCCAAAAGGAACACCGUCAUACCGCCCCAUAGCAUUCAUUUUGAAGACAAAAUGCAGCCAUACGUACUUCUGGCUUCAAAAUUUGUGUUCUCCAGAAAUGUCUGUAGAGCUACGUUUUCAGAAUGAGCCUGUGUUGUCAUUAUCACUGUUGUGAAGUACAUAUCAAAGAAAUGCUGCUGACGUUCAAAGCCAUUUAUAAUACACUGAAAAAGAGCCUCACUGGAUCAACUUAAAUAAAUGACUUCAACUUCUUACACCUAAAAGAAUAAACACUGUAAAAAUUCAGGAUUCCACACAAUUCCUUCAUGUUGUCCCAACACAAACUGAUUAAUUAAGUUAACUUAAAUCGCUUUUACAAAUGUAAGCGGAUUGAACAUAAAACAAUUAAGUUGCCCCCUCAAAAAAACUCAAGAAUUUCAGCUUAUUUUAAAUGUGUAGUUGAAACAAACAGAAAAUGUUUGUCAGACUUAUUUAUUAAUGAAAACCAUAAUAAAUUAAGUUGGAAACUGAAGUCAUUUGUUUAGGUUUUCACUUUUUACAGUGUUUUGGGUGGGACUGAAUAAAACUCUAUAGUGUUUUGAUGAA